rnacentral:rRNA from 1 species
AUGAAGGAAUUCAUCGCAGAAAUUGUUAGCAUUGGCCGCCUUCAGAAUCCAAACCUCGCACACUUACUUGGCUAUUGCAGGCGUCAUGGUGAGCUCCUGUUAGUGUAUGAGUACAUGCCCAAAGGAAGCCUCGAUAAGUACUUGUAUGGUGAAGUGGACAACAACACAUUAAGUUGGGAUCAAAGGUUUUGGAUCAUCAGGGGCAUCGCAUCUGCACUGAUUUAUCUCCACGAGGAGUGGGAGAAAGUAGUUGUCCACCGAGACAUCAAGGCAAGCAAUGUGCUCCUUGAUGAUGAGUUGAAUGCUCGGUUGGGUGAUUUUGGUCUAGCAAGAUUGUAUGACCAUGGUGUUGAGCAAGAAACUACUCGUGUUGUUGGCACCAUUGAACUAAUAGCUAGCCGCCUCACGGCGCACGGGGAAGGGUACUCCUCUUACCGAUGUAUUUGCCUUUGGUAUAUUUGUCCUAGAGGUCACUUGUGGCCAAAGACCUAUCAUGCAAAGCACACAAGAUAA